rnacentral:rRNA from 1 species
UACGUAGGGGGCUAGCGUUGUCCGGAAUCAUUGGGCGUAAAGAGCGUGUAGGCGGCCCGGUAAGUCCGCUGUGAAAGUCGGGGGCUCAACCCUCGAAUGCCGGUGGAUACUGUCGGGCUAGAGUGCGGAAGAGGCGAGUGGAAUUCCUGGUGUAGCGGUGAAAUGCGCAGAUAUCAGGAGGAACACCGAUUGCGAAGGCAGCUCGCUGGGACGUAACUGACGCUGAGGAGCGAAAGCGUGGGGAGCAAACAGG